rnacentral:rRNA from 1 species
AACGAACGCUGGCGGCAUGCCUAACACAUGCAAGUCGAACGAAGGCUUCGGCCUUAGUGGCGCACGGGUGCGUAACGCGUGGGAAUCUGCCCUUGGGUUCGGAAUAACAGUUGGAAACGACUGCUAAUACCGGAUGAUGUCGCGAGACCAAAGAUUUAUCGCCCAGGGAUGAGCCCGCGUCGGAUUAGGUAGUUGGUGGGGUAAAGGCCUACCAAGCCGACGAUCCGUAGCUGGUCUGAGAGGAUGAUCAGCCACACUGGGACUGAGACACGGCCCAGACUCCUACGGGAGGCAGCAGUGGGGAAUAUUGGACAAUGGGCGAAAGCCUGAUCCAGCAAUGCCGCGUGAGUGAUGAAGGCCUUAGGGUUGUAAAGCUCUUUUACCCGGGAUGAUAAUGACAGUACCGGGAGAAUAAGCUCCGGCUAACUCCGUG